rnacentral:lncRNA from 1 species
CUCCGCCCCGCCCACACCCGCCUCCCUUCCCUUAGCACGGGCUCCCUCCUCCAGCUGCCGUCCCUACAAAUUCCCUGACUCUUGCCUGCACCGCGGGUCUCCCACCCUGCCUCCAAUUGGCCCUGCCAGGUCUCUAGUCACUGCGGGCCCAGUCCCCGCUGGGCCGGGGUCCGCCCCUCCUCCGCUUGCCUUUCGCGUGCGGCCGGAAGCCCAGGUGCUCGUAGACCGGGAAACGUGGGCGGUCGGAGGUGUCCUCGCCGCGGUGCACCAGCGCCUCGCGCAUGGCCGCCAGCCCGUCGAGCACGACCACCGGCGUCCAGGCCAGCUGCAGGCUGAACACGUCCCCGAAGCGGCGCCGCAGCUGCAGGCCAGGGUCAAGGGCGUUGGAGAAGUCCCGCUCCUGCCUGGCGCCCGCCCCAGUCUCCUGGCAGAAGCCUUGGGGAACCCGUGGGCAGCCAGCAGCAAGGGCUUGGAGGAACUUAAUCUGGCCUCGUGACUCUGGAGCUCCUUGUCCAGCCUGUGGCUUCACCACCACCCACGGUCUGCUGCUACGUGGGGUCCCCAGCAUCUCUGCUGCCAAACACCACGUUCCUCACCCAAGUAAAGCUGCGAAGCGGGUCCUGGAAGUCCACCUGCAGCAGGUUGCCCAGCCCAGGCAGGGGCAUGGGGCCUGGGGGGUAGCGGGGGGCCCAGCGUUGGCGCCGGUGCAUCAGGUCCACCAGGAGCAGGAAGAUGGUCACGGCCACAGCCACAGGCCCCAGUGUCUCCCAGGUCAGCAGCCCCAUGGCUGCCUCAGUGCACACUGCGCUCCUCUGGACACACUGGCGCUCUUCACCACACCAGGCACCAGGACCAGACCUGGCAGGGCUCUCUCACCAACCCUGAGGGUUUGAUGAGCCUGGGCCCCUUUAUAAGGGGAGCUGAGACUGGCCUUUGUCCUCUGCUGUGAGCCAAGCUGUCGGGAUGACUGUGCUGCCAGAGGGUGCAGGGAGGGGCUAGGGAAGCUCAGGUGCAUGAGCAGCCGCGGAUGUCCUGUCCUUUCUGCCCUCUCCAGGUGCUUAUGCCAGGUAGUGGUGGGGAGAGACGAUAUGUCCCACCCCCAGCCUGACUCCCAGCGUUAUGCAGGGUCCCAGGAAGAACCAGGGGUCUUUGGACUUGAUCCUGCCACCCACCUGUCACAUUAUGCUCACCCUCCCUAAUGGGGUCACAGCCUCAUCCCCGGAACACAUCCUCACCUCCCCAUAUCUCACCUGCCUCCUCCUGAGUGACCUUCACCUCCCAGGUCCCUGGCUGUGGGGAGGUCACAUGAUCAGGUGGACAAUGGGGAAUGGGGGAGAUGAGGUUCUCGGUGUCCCUCACUUCACUCUACUACACUCAAUACCCUCAGACGCAGAUUACACACAAACUACUCACACAUUCAGACACUACCAACAUGCUCACAAAGUGACACACAGCACAGGCACACACACACACAUUUACACACCCACAAAACCACAUACACACACACAUUAAUACAUGCACCACUUACACACACACACAGACCCAGACCCAGCACAGAGCACCUGUUCUCAUUGGUGGCCUGGACCCGACCCCCACCUCUCCCCACCUCAAGGCGGCAGCAGGGAUGCUGAGGACCCUCAGCUGGUUGGCGCCUGGCUCUGCUUCCUCAGCUUCACCUGGCCGUGGCCAUCCCAUGAUUGAAUCUGGGGGUGGGGAGGCAGCAGGGUUGUUUUCAGAGCUCCCUACUCACCCAAGGAGCCAGUUCAGAGCCCAGGAGACCCUCCCCAAGUUGCUUACAAACUGGUCCUUGUUCCUCCCAGCUCCUGAGGCCACCCAGGUGAUGAAUCUCCUCGGGCCUGUGUCCGCUUUCCUGAUUCAGAGAAAUGUGGGGUGGGUGCUGGCCUGUGUUGACGGAGUUGCCAGGAAGCUCAGGGUACCAGGGUGUCCUAGCAUAGGAUGUGACACUGUCCCCAGAGGAGUGGGCCUGCUUCCUUGUCAGUAUCAUUUGUCCUUGAACAUCAGCUGCUCAGACUCUUUCCGGAAGACACAGAGACUGAAAGCACGUGGGGCCGAUGGAAUUUCUUUACACCCUCGCAGGGCUGCUGAGGACCACACGGAAUGGAUUCUCGGGCCUCCCUCUCCCUGGGUCAGGUCUCCCUGCUCCAGCCAUCCCACUUCAUCCCUCAGCCUCACUUGCCAAGCUGCCUUCCUCCCCUGCUCCAAUGCCUUCCCACUCUGGCUCUGUGGUCCCUCAAGGAAAGAUGCGAACCCCAGCACCACUCCGCCCCAUUGUGUGCCACCUCGUGGCUGGAACGUGGCUCCCAGGCCCUCCCUCUUGCUCAGCCUCUCACCCCCUCCAAGCAGGGGUGUGACUACACGAUGCCAGGGCAGGGCCGCUGCCCACCAGCCUCAGCACCCUCCUUCGUCAACAAGAAAAGGGAUCGGAUUUGAGACUGAGUUUUUAGUUCAGUGAAGCUGAGGGGAACUCUGAAGCCAAAACCCACUCAGGUGGGAAGGGGCAGGAGCCCAGAGGGUGGGGAAGGGGCAUUUCCUGGGAGGGGUCAGGCCCCCUCCCCCAUCCCAGGGGUAUGUGAGGCCAGCUCUCAUCCUGGAACCACCUGGAGAAUUCUCUACCCCAGAUGAAGCAGAGCCUGCAGGAGGCACUCCCCCAACCCGUGUCCUCCCAGUUCUCUCCCUCCCUCCCCAAAAGUAAGGGGACCAGCUUCUUCCCAGGGAGCCUCCGGACAUCUCCCACUCAGAGAUGGCCACCCAGAGAUGGCUCCUCGGGGCCGGGGCCUCUUGCUAUUGGCUUUCAACAUUUACAGUUCCUGCUUGGCCCGUGAAAGCUGCUCCUCCCCUUCUGAAUGCCCGCAGCCCCACUCUCCUGCAUGGCCCAGGGCCAGAGGGUGUAGCGGGCUGGGGCGCAGUGGGCCUUCCUCAGUUUACCCAUAUUCCCUGAAACUUGCCUUGCUCAGGCCUUGGACUGUGUUCCAGCCCUGCCAGACGGACCACGUGCUGGGAGGGGCAAUCACAGCCUGAGAGGAGACGAUGGUGGGCCCCUGCUCCAAGGCGC